rnacentral:lncRNA from 1 species
UAACAUUGGUAGAAUAGAUCACAGUAAAAUAGCAUUGAAAAUAAUUCAUUAAAAACAAAUAUGAGAAUAAAAAACACAACACCGAACAUAAAGAACUAAUUUAAGCAAGAUAGACCAUAUUUGAUGUAAUGGUGUCGAAAAAUAGAAACAAUUCCACCACCGAAGUUUCUUUCCACCAACAAACAAAUCUGGCCAUGCACACUAAGUGCAAAUUCCAUCACGACAUUUGUUGCCCGGCAGAUCUCAAUGAUGAGGAGGAGUUGCAUGAUUCGAAGGCAUUCAAUGACAGUCAUGGCAUUCGUCGCUACGGCGGAUCUCGACAGCAAGGAGGAGUUGCACGUUUUGAAGGCGUCUGAUGUCAACAAGGACAAUUCCAAUGACGGGAAUGAUGGACCUUGAUGAUGAAAGAAGAAAUGAAGAGAGAGAACAAGGACAAUAAAGUAAAAAGCUGUAUUCCUCUGCAAAUUUUCUCAUUUGAGAGGAAGAUGAAACCAUUGGGUCUCACGUGACUUUCAAAAGUUUCUUCACUACCUCUGCCCAACCAAAUCACGAAGUCCAUUGAAUUCUCCGCUCAUUCGCGCGUCUCCUGUUGAGAAUUUUG